rnacentral:lncRNA from 1 species
UGGUAAUUAACAACACAUUUUCUAUUUUGCAUUUCAAUGUGUGUUUUAUUUAUUCAUGACAGAUCACAAGAAGUGGAAGAAUACUCUCUGAAAAAGAAUACAAACUAAAUAUCAUGAAGCGAGAUCACCAAAAAUAUAUCCGGGAGUGCUUAGCCCAGGCUAUUUUUCAUAAGGUUCUUGAUAUGGAGGGGGAGCACACAAGACGGUUUAUAGAAAAAAACAUGCCAGUCCUUUCUCCCCAUCCACCAGUUGGCCCGAAAAGUAGCCAUGGCAUUGUGGUUGAUGAAGGACAUUCCAGUCCAUUAAUACUGGUAAGUCAUAUUAAUAAACACUCUGUCAUGCCAUCUUCCAACUAAUUAAUGU